rnacentral:rRNA from 1 species
UACGAAGGGGGCUAGCGUUGCUCGGAAUUACUGGGCGUAAAGGGAGCGUAGGCGGACAUUUAAGUCAGGGGUGAAAUCCUGGAGCUCAACUCCAGAACUGCCUUUGAUACUGGCGAUCUCGAGUCCGGGAGAGGUGAGUGGAACUGCGAGUGUAGAGGUGAAAUUCGUAGAUAUUCGCAAGAACACCAGUGGCGAAGGCGGCUCACUGGCCCGGUACUGACGCUGAGGUGCGAAAGCGUGGGGAGCAAACAGGG